rnacentral:rRNA from 1 species
GACGAACGCUGGCGGCGUGCCUAAUACAUGCAAGUUGAGCGCUGAAGGUUGGUACUUGUUCCAACUGGAUGAGCAGCGAACGGGUGAGUAACGCGUGGGUAAUCUGCCUUUGAGCGGGGGACAACAUUUGGAAACGAAUGCUAAUACCGCAUAAAAACUUUAAACACAAGUUUUAAGUUUGAAAGAUGCAAUUGCAUCACUCAAAGAUGAUCCCGCGUUGUAUUAGCUAGUUGGUGAGGUAAAGGCUCACCAAGGCGAUGAUACAUAGCCGACCUGAGAGGGGGGUCGGCCACAAUGGGACUGGGACACGGCCCAAACUCCUACGGGAGGCAGCAGGAGGGAAUCUUCGGCAAUGGAGGAAAGGCUGAACGAGGAACGCCGGGGGAGGGAAGAAGGGUGUCGGAUCGUAAAACUCGGUUGGUAGGGAAGGACGUUGGUGAGAGUGGAAAGCUCAUCAAGUGACGGUAACUACCCAGAAAGGGACGGCUAACUACGUG